AUCCCCACCCACAUCCUCAGGAUGCUUAUGGUGUGUGUGUAGAGAGAAAGAGAGAGAGAGAGAGCGCGCGCUCAAGCUCUGGCUUUGCCUUUAUUCUCUGUGACUUUCCUCCCUGAGGCUCAGUCUCCAGGCCUGUUAGAUGGGAACCCCACCUGCAGCAGAGCAGGCUUGAGGAUGUAAAACCAGGGCAGAGGGCGGCCCAGCAUACAGUAUGCCCUCGCCCUGAGCUGCAGCCUCAAUGUCAGCAGCUGU